rfam:Geminocystis sp. NIES-3708 DNA, complete genome.
AGGAGCGGAAUGAGGUAAAAGUCUCACGUUCCGUUCUGAAGACAAGGGUAGAUGGUGACAUCUAUGCUUAGUUUGAC